UACGUAGGGUGCAAGCGUUGUCCGGAAUUAUUGGGCGUAAAGAGCUCGUAGGCGGUUCGUCGCGUCGGCUGUGAAAUCCCGAGGCUCAACCUCGGGUCUGCAGUCGAUACGGGCGGACUGGAGUUCGGCAGGGGAGACUGGAAUUCCUGGUGUAGCGGUGAAAUGCGCAGAUAUCAGAGAACACCCGUGGCUAAGGCGGCUCUCUAGUACGGUACUGACGCGAGACGCGAAAGCGUGGGGAGCGAAC
rnacentral:rRNA from 1 species